rnacentral:lncRNA from 1 species
GUUACCUUUUAUUCUGAUGAUUGUUAACGGAAUAAUUCUGCGGUGGGGAUCUUUUCAGUGUGUGACCCUGGUGAAUAGCAAAGCCCUGUUCGAAUUUUCCUUCUGUGUGUUGUUCAUAAUUCAAGUGACAAUGAGAAACUCUGGUCUCAGUGGGAUGGAAAUAGAGCCUGGAAGAAAUGGGAAACUUUAAUAUCUGGAUGGAUUCCUUAAACAGCAUCCCCCUGAAGUAAAAGCUUGAAAAAUAAAGUCCACCUGGGUGGUGACUGUCAAGACAGGCCCUGCCCCGUGGGCACUGGCUGAGGAAUUUGGUGUAUUCCACACAUGCCGGAGUUUCCAAGGAGGAAACGUGUUUGAAGUCCAAAGAACAAGGACGGCCUCUGCUUGCUAAUCAGGGGUUCUCAGGUGCAUCUCCG